rnacentral:misc_RNA from 1 species
AAUCGAUUCUUAAACUAUGAAAAGGCUUAUUGGACAGUUACCUAUAUGGGAUUAAUGAAAAGCUGUACAAUUAUUCUAUUUAUUAGUGCAAUACAUAACUAGAAUUAUAAUAUGAAAAGGAGGUCGUGACAGAGUCAAAAACAAAAACAAUCAAAACUCGACAAAACAAAACCAAACAAGAAAAAAAAACACGAGGCUUUCAGACGAUCGUCGCUCAUUUGAAUAACAAACAUUGACUUGGUAAGAAGAUGGCUAGAUGGCACAGUUCCAAAAAGAACAGUUUAUGAAUAUUUUCUUUUAUUAUUCUUAUGUACAUAAAACACGUGAUCAUAAACGAUAUAAUAGACAGGUUUUGAGGGUCGUGAGCGAACCAAACUACACGAGGUUUAGUACUGCAAUUGCAACAGCUAGUAGCCAUGGAAUUUGAAGAUUCCAGUGAAGUGAUGUUCAAAGAGAAUCCCCGAAGCAAAAUUAAUCGCAUAAAGAUUGGUUUAGCUCUAGUCUUGGUUUUUUGUUUUCUUCUGCUAAUUGUAUGCGUAGUACUAGCAGUAUUGUAUUCACAAGAGCUUAACAAAUCGUAUAUUGAUGCAACGCCUGGCAGUCAAAAAGUGAAGAAGUACGAGAUAUGCGAAGAGGAGCAGUGUCUUCUGCUUGGCCUGGAAAUGGUACGAAACAUGAAUAAGAGCGUCGAUCCCUGCGAAGACUUCCAUGCCUAUGCGUGUGGUGGUUGGAAAAGCAGACAUCCCUUGAAGUACACAAUGAGACAAACAACGAUGGACGUCAUGAGGGACAAAAACGCCCACUUCAUCAAAACAGCUUUGAAAUGGGCUGAUCUGAUUUAUUCAAAGAACGACGCUGUGAUGAAAAUGGUACGUGUGUACGACUCUUGUAUGAACACCACCGCAAUAGAUGUCCUAGGAUUACAGCCUCUCAAAGAUUUGAUCGAAGAAUAUGGUGGAUGGAGCAUUUCACAGAACUACAACCCAGAUGUUACCGUAGCUCAACGAAUUGGCAGAGCUGCACGUGGACUGAAUAUUGACUCUUUGUUUGGCUUGGAUGUGCAACCUAAUCCGUUCGAUUCUGAUAUGAAUGUGCUAAUGUUAAAAGAGUCGGCCUUAGGACUUAACAAAAGAGACUAUUUGGAUCUUGACGACAACAGUGAAAAGAAACGCAAAGAAUACAAAAACUACAUGAAAGCUGUGAGCCAAAUGUUUAAUGCGUCUUACGCUAAAAUGGAGGCAAUAUAUGACUUCGAAGUAAAACUGGCAAAGGGGCCUGUGCUAAAGGAGGUUUUAGAUGUUCUGUUUGACAGGCAGUUUACUGGAAAUGAACCAAUAUUUCCUAUGCCUAAAAACAUAGUCUUCUUUAAAGAAAUUAGUCUGUUGUAUAGCAAAACCAAUCACGCACUUAUAGCUGACUACAUCAUGUGGCAAAUUGUACGUCAAUACGUUGGUGCUCUUCCCGAUCAAUACCGACCUGCAACUGGAGAUUUUUUGAUUAACACCGUUAUACCACGAUGGCAGCAGUGCAUCCGUGUCAUGUUUAAACCCUUUGACAUGCCACUCGGCCUACUGUACGUGAGCGUAAAUUUCAAUGAGUAUGCAAGAUUUAAGAUCAUAGAAAUGAUUGAAAACGCCCGAACUUCAUUUAUCCAGAAACUACCAACUCAAACUUGGAUGGACAAAGAAACUCAGGAGAAGGCAAAGGAAAAGGCGCUGGCAAUCGCCAUUGGGGAAAUUGGAUAUCCAGCGUACAUCAAGGAUCCUGCGAAACUCAAGGCACAGUAUGAUUCGCUCAAAGUAACAGACAGUCUGAUGGACAACAUGAAAGCUGCCAAUCAUUUUCUCAGAAUGAGAACUUUAAAAAAAUUCGAGCGUCCAGUGGACAAAAAAGAGUAAGAAAAGCCUUUUCAUCAUCAUGGGUACUUAGUCCUGCCAGUGUGAAUGGUUACUACAGUCCUUUUCAAAAUGGAAUAGUUCUUUUGGCUGGAAUUCUUCAACCACCGUAUUACAGCCCUGAUUAUCCGAGGUACAUAAAUUAUGGUGGU